rnacentral:miRNA from 1 species
CCAGGCACGGGGCCUGCGGGGUGAGGUAGUAGGUUGUGUGGUUUCAGGGCAGUGAUGUUGCCCUCUCGGAAGAUAACUAUACAACCUACUGCCUUCCCUGCGCGCCCCG